rnacentral:rRNA from 1 species
GACGGGGGAUGCAAGCGUUAUCCGGCCUCACUGGGCGUAAAGCGUCUGUCGGUGGUGAUGCAAGUCACUGGUGCAAAACUCUGGCUCAACCGGAGGAAAGCCAGUGAAACUGCAUGACUAGAGUGUGGGAGAGGUAGAAGGAAUUCCCUGAGUAGCGGUGAAAUGCGUAGAUACAGGGAAGAACACCGGAGGCGAAAGCGUUCUACUGGAACACAACUGACACUGAGAGACGAAAGCUAGGGGAGCGAAGGGG